GACCGAACCGACUUACGUUGAAAAGUGAGCGGAUGAACUGAGGGUAGCGGAGAAAUUCCAAUCGAACCUGGAGAUAGCUGGUUCUCUCCGAAAUAGCUUUAGGGCUAGCCUCAAGUGAUGAUUAUUGGAGGUAGAGCACUGUUUGGACGAGGGGCCCCUCUCGGGUUACCGAAUUCAGACAAACUCCGAAUGCCAAUUAAUUUAACUUGGGAGUCAGAACAUGGGUGAUAAGGUCCGUGUUCGAAAGGGAAACAGCCCAGACCACCAGCUAAGGUCCCAAAAUAUAUGUUAAGUGGAAAAGGAUGUGGCGUUGCCCAGACAACUAGGAUGUUGGCUUAGAAGCAGCCAUCAUUUAAAGAGUGCGUAAUAGCUCACUAGUCGAGUGACACUGCGCCGAAAAUGUACCGGGGCUAAACAUAUUACCGAAGCUGUGGAUUGUCCUUUGGACAAUGGUAGGAGAGCGUUCUAAGGGCGUUGAAGCAUGAUCGUAAGGACAUGUGGAGCGCUUAGAAGUGAGAAUGCCGGUGUGAGUAGCGAAAGACGGGUGAGAAUCCCGUCCACCGAUUGACUAAGGUUUCCAGAGGAAGGCU
rnacentral:rRNA from 1 species